CUGUGUAACACAGUAUCUGUCAUAUACUGUAUCUACUUCCUUUGUGAUUCUAUUUGCUCAAACAUCACUUCCUUAGAAUGCAUAUAAACCUCUCUUCUUCCUCUGCACUUCUUUGAGUGCUGUCGUCAAGACUUUUACCCUGAACCUUGACUUCCCAGGUUGAUAGUUCUGUCUUAUGUUCCGUCUGUAGUCGAUGUGGAUGGUGCAAGAUGCUGGAUGGAAGUUGUCAAUGAGCAGUUUAAGACGGAGAACCUCAGCACUAUUUUCAAAUCUGUGGAGAAACGAGAAAGGGUUCUUGGAAACACAGCAUUGAAUGAGACGACUUCAAUCAUUGUUGAGAGGCUUGUGGCCCACACAUUCAGGGCCGAGGGCAAGUUUACUGGGCUUAAUUUAUCUGCCACUCGAGAAGGGGCAAGAUGACAGUGACCCACAAUGAAAUGCUUGAGGAAGUUUAGUCAGUUUUUUGAAAACCACGUGCAGUUUGGCAUUUAUUGGGAAUGGGAUGAAUGUUGUCCUGGAGGCAGUUCUGCAGAGUGGUCACAAGCUGCCUUUACCACACAAAGUUAUAAAAUCUGACUUUAAGCCUCCCUAAUACUAACCCGAACCUUAACCACACUGCUAACCGUAUGCCUAACCUUAACCUUAAAUUUGUUUUUAUAAAACAUUUUACGAUAUAGCCAAUUUGACUUUGCGGCUGGCCCAUCUAGCGGAAAGCGCUCAGCUCGGCCUCAGUGACAAGAUUAAUCUCAAUAAACUUCAAACCUGCGAACUGUGUCACAUGCAAAUACAGUUGAAGUCGUAAGUUUACAUACACUUAGGUUGGAGUCAUUAAAACUAGUUUUUCAACCACUCCACAAAUGUCUUGUUAUCAAACUAUAGUUUUGGCAAGUUGGUUAGGAUAUCUACUUUGUGCAUGACACAAGUCAUUUUUCCAACAAUUCUUUACAGAUUAUUUCACUUAUAAUUCACUGUAUCACAAUUCCAGUGGGUCAGAAGUUUAUAUACACUAAGUUGACUGUGCCUUUAAACAGCUUGGAAAAUUCCAGAAAAUGAUGUCAUGGCUUUAGAAGCUUCUGUUGGGCUAAUUGACAUCAUUUAAGUCAAAUGGAGGUGUACCUGUGGAUGUAUUUCAAGGCGUACCUUUCAAACUCAGUGUCUCUUUGCUUGACAUCAUGGGAAAAUUAAAAGAAAUCAGCCAAGACCUCAGAAAAACAAUUGUAGACCUUCACAAGUCUGGUUCAUCCUUGGGAGCAAUUUCCAAGCGCCUGAAGGCACAACGUUCAUCUGUACAAGCAAUAGUACGCAAGUAUAAACACCAUGGGACCACACAGCCGUCAUACCACUCAGGAAGGAGAUGACGUUCUGUCUCCUAGAGAUGAACGUACUGUGGUGCAAAAAGUGCAAAUCAAUCCCAGAACAACAGCAAAGGACCUUGUGAAGAUGCUGGAGGAAACAGGUACAAAAGUAUAUCCACACUAAAAGUCCUAUAUCGAUAUAACCUGAAAGGCCGCUCAGCAAGGAAGAAGCCACUGAUCCAAAAAAGCCAGACUACGGGUUGUAACUGCGCAUGGGGACAAAGAUCGUACUUUUUGGAGAAAUGUCCUCUGGUCUGAUGAAACCAAAAUAUAACUGUUUGGGCAUAACGACCAUCGUUAUGUUUGGAGGAAAAACGGGGAGGUUUGCAAGCCGAAGAACACCAUCCCAACCGUGAAGCACGGAGGUGGCAGCAUCAUGUUGUGGGGGUGCUUUGUUGCAGGAGGGACUGGUGCACUUCACAAAAUAGAUGCCAUCAUGAGGAGGGAAAAUGAUGUGGCUAUAUUGAGGCACCAUCUCAAAACAUCAGUCAGGAAGUUAAAGCUUAUGUCACGUUCUGGCCUUAGUUCUUUGUGAUGUCUUUGUUUUAGUAUGGUCAGGGCGUGAGUUGGGUGGGCAGUCUAUGUUCUUUUUUCUAUGAUUUGGUAUUUCUGUGUUUGGCCUGGUAUGGUUCUCAAUCAGAGGCAGCUGUCAAUCAUUGUCCCUGAUUGAGAACCAUACUUAGGCAGCCUGUUUUCACCCUUGAGUGGUGGAUGAUUAUACUUUCUGUUUAGUGUGUGUUGCACCUGACAGAGCUGUUUCGGUUGUGCUUUUUGUUUCUUUGUUAGAUGUUGUUCAGUUUUAAAUAAAUAACAUGAACAAGUACCACGCUGCGCGUUGGUCCUCACCUUCUUCCACCGACGACCGUUACAGCUUGGCCCAAAAUUCACCCAACCUAUUGUGGGAAGCCGGUGGAAGGCUACCCAAAACGUUUGACCCAAGUUAAACAAUUUAAAGGCAAUGCUACCAAAUACUAAUUGAGUGUAUGUAAACUUCUGACCCACUGGCAAUGUGAAAUAAUAUCUGAAAUAAAUCAUUCUCUCUACUCUUAUUCAGACAUUUCACAUUCUUAAAAUAAAGUGGUGAUCCUGUCUCUGUUCUUCCUGGUGGUCACAAUCUUUCUGUGCGCCACUCAAAGGUAUGUCACACUCUGGGCGUCAUGGUCAGCUCACAGGAACCCCUGGUUUGUCAUAAGUUUGACGUCAUCAGAAAGUGACACCAAGAUGUACAUGAACUGGAGGGAGCAGAUUAAAUAAAAAAUUUAAAGCAACAGACCUUGUUUUCACCAUACUCUCUCUCUAUUCCUUUGUUCAGAGGUAUAUGCACAGACAUCUCCCUGAAGGUGCAUAUCAACCUGUCUGUGGCCCUGAUCCUCCUCAACCUACACUUCCUGCCCAGCCAGCAGAGUCGUGGCUGAACGUCGACAUGAAUAACAUACAGCUGGCAGGUUUUAGCUUCUUCAGCAGGAUAGAACAGCAGCCUCUGGUAAGACAAUGGGUAGCGGUCUAUGUAUUUUUGAGCUGUAUACGGCCAUAAGCAAACAGGAAAACGCUCAUCCAGAGGCGGCGCUCCUAGUGGCCGGGGACUUUAAUGCAGGGAAACUCAAAUACCUAAUUUGGAAAUGGUCAGAUGAAGCAGGUGAUGUGGUGUACAGGACUGUUUUGGUAGCACAGAUUGGAAUAUGUUCCGGGAUUCUUCUGAUGGCAUUGAGGAGUACACCACAUCAGUGAGCUAAAGGGUAGAGCUGCUGCUUUCAAGGAGCGGGACACUAACCCGGAAGCUUAUAAGAAAUCACGCUAUGCCCCUGGAGUGCCAAGUCCAGGUCCAAAAGACUUCUUAACAGCUUUUAUCCCCAAGCCUUAAAACUCCUGAACAGCUAAUCAAAGGGCUACCCAGACCCCUCUUUUACGCUGCUGCUACUCUCUGUUUAUAAUCUAUGCAUGGUCACUUUAAUUCUACCUACAUGUACAGAAACAGACAGAAGCAAUGGGGAAAACGCUGGUAGGCUUGACAAACAAAACAAACUGGCAACAGACAGAGAACUAAGGUAGUAGGGAUAAUGGGGAAGAUGGGCGACACCUGGAGGGGGGUGGAGACAAACACAAAGACAGGUGAAACAGAUCAGAUCAUAUUACCUCAUUACCAACAUUGUUGGUUAAGGGCUUGUAAGUAAGCAUUUCACUGUAAGGACUACAACUGUUGUAUUCGACACAUGUGACAAAUACAAUUUGAUUUGAUACAAACAACCAAAUAGUACAAACCAUCAAAAAAGGUUCAUACCCUGCUGUUCCAUGAACCACUUUUUCACGUUUUGUGUGAACUCACCAACACUUGCAACACAUUUUAAACCUUCUGGAAGUUGUUUGUAAUGCUUUUACAGCUUUUACAGAAAAUUACAACUUUGAAAAAGUAUUGACAUUUGGAAUAUCUUGUGUGGAUUGUGAGAGGUCGACUGAAUACUGUAAUGAAGUUCUGUUUCGAAGAGUAAAAUGUGUCAACUUCUUUUGUACAUUUUAUUCAUCUUCCUCUGGUUUUGUGUGUUCAAAUGGAAGACUGAGGACAGCCAACCUGGCAGUGACACUCACUGUACCAAUACCUGAUCUGCCUGAGAACAAAAGUAUGUUGUCAACCAAUCCAGCAUUGUUGUUAUCAAUGUUAAUUUCAAACUUUAUUGAGAUUUUGUUAUUUUGAGAAUACUUGCCCUAAACUGUGGACCUUCGAAAGUGUCUACAAACCACCCACUUGUUUUGUACCAAUACAAUAGCAUGUCAUUGUUUAGUUACGGAAUGAAGGAAGAUGUUAUCACAACUGUUUUUGUGUGUGGUUUGUUCAAUUAUAAAUCAUGUGAUCCAACAGGAUCUGAUAUAAUGCUGUGAGAUCCUAUCCCUCACUAGUUGAUA